GCCAUUUUUUUGGAAACCUCGGCGCCAUGAGAGCCAAGUGGAGGAAGAAGCGAAUGCGCAGGCUGAAGCGCAAAAGAAGAAAGAUGAGGCAGAGGUCCAAGUAAACCGCUAGCUUGUUGCACCGUGGAGGCCACAGGAGCAGAAACAUGGAAUGCCAGACGCUGGGGAUGCUGGUACAAGUUGUGGGACUGCAUGCUACUGUCUAGAGCUUGUCUCAAUGGAUCUAGAACUUCAUCGCCCUCUGAUCGCCGAUCACCUCUGAGACCCACCUUGCUCAAAAACAAAAUGCCCAUGUUGGUCCUCUGCCCUGGACCUGUGACAUUCUGGACUAUUUCUGUGUUUAUUUGUGGCCGAGUGUAACAACCAUAUAAUAAAUCACCUCUUCCGCUGUUUUAGCUG
rnacentral:lncRNA from 1 species